CUAAGGCUCCAGAGGAAGCCACGGCUAACUCUGUGCCAGCAGCCGCGGUAAUACAGAGGCGGCAAGCGUUGUUCGGAAUUAUUGGGCGUAAAGAGCACGUAGGCGGCCUUGCAAGUCGGUUGUGAAAGCCUUCCGCUCAACGGAAGAACAGCAGCUGAUACUACAAGGCUUGAGUGCGGGAGGGGAGAGUGGAACUUCUGGUGGAGCGGUGAAAUGCGUAGAUAUCAGAAGGAACGCCGGCGGCGAAAGCGAUUCUCUGGCCUAUUACUGACACUCAGUGUGCGAAAGCUAGGGGAGCAAACGGGAUUAGAUACCCCGGUAGUCCUAGCCGUAAA
rnacentral:rRNA from 1 species